AUUCAGAUAACGAGUCCCAAAUAAAAGGAAACGCGCGUCCUUAAU
rfam:Schistosoma margrebowiei strain Zambia genome assembly, scaffold: SMRZ_scaffold0002451